rnacentral:rRNA from 1 species
UACGAAGGGGGCUAGCGUUGUUCGGAAUCACUGGGCGUAAAGCGCACGUAGGCGGACUUUUAAGUCAGAGGUGAAAGCCUGGAGCUCAACUCCAGAACUGCCUUUGAUACUGGGAGUCUCGAGUUCGGAAGAGGUUGGUGGAACUGCGAGUGUAGAGGUGAAAUUCGUAGAUAUUCGCAAGAACACCAGUGGCGAAGGCGGCUCACUGGCCCGGUACUGACGCUGAGGUGCGAAAGCGUGGGGAGCAAACAGG